rnacentral:misc_RNA from 1 species
GAUGAAGAACGUAGCGAAAUGCGAUAAGUAGUGUGAAUUGCAGAAUUAAGUGAAUCAUCGAAUCUUUGAACGCACAUUGCGCCCCAUGGUAUUCCGUGGGGCAUGCCUGUUCGAGCGUCAUUUACCCCCUCAAGCUCCGCUUGGUGUUGGGCGUCUGUCCCGCUUCGCGCGCGGACUCGCCCCAAAGGUAUUGGCAGCGGUCGUGCCAGCUUCUCGCGCAGCACAUUGCGCUUCUCGAGGCACCGGUGGGCCCGCGUCCAUCAAGCUCACCCCCCCAGUUUGACCUCGGAUCAGGUAGGGAUACCCGCUGAACUUAAGCAUAUCAAUAAGCGGAGGA